rnacentral:rRNA from 1 species
ACUUUCAACAACGGAUCUCUUGGUUCUGGCAUCGAUGAAGAACGCAGCGAAAUGCGAUAAGUAAUGUGAAUUGCAGAAUUCAGUGAACCAUCGAAUCUUUGAACGCACAUUGCGCCCGCCAGCACUCUGGCGGGCAUGCUUGUCCGAGCGUCAUCUC